UACGAAGGGGGCUAGCGUUACUCGGAUUGACUGGGCGUAAAGGGCGCGUAGGCGGCUUGUACAGUCAGACGUGAAAUUCCUGGGCUCAACCUGGGGGCUGCGUUUGAUACGUGCGGGCUUGAGUUCGGAAGAGGGUCGUGGAAUUCCCAGUGUAGAGGUGAAAUUCGUAGAUAUUGGGAAGAACACCGGUGGCGAAGGCGGGUCUCUGGGCCGAUACUGACGCUGAGGAGCGAAAGCGUGGGGAGCGAACAGG
rnacentral:rRNA from 1 species